rnacentral:rRNA from 1 species
UGGGGAAUAUUGCACAAUGGGCGAAAGCCUGAUGCAGCGACGCCGCGUGAGGGAUGACGGCCUUCGGGUUGUAAACCUCUUUCAGCAGGGACGAAGCGCAAGUGACGGUACCUGCAGAAGAAGCACCGGCUAACUACGUGCCAGCAGCCGCGGUAAUACGUAGGGUGCAAGCGUUGUCCGGAAUUACUGGGCGUAAAGAGUUCGUAGGCGGGUUGUCGCGUCGUUUGUGAAAACCAGCAGCUCAACUGCUGGCUUGCAGGGGAUACAGGCAGAAUUGAGUAGUGCAGGGGAGACUGGAAUUCCUGGUGUAGCGGUGAAAAGCGCAGAUAUCAGGAGGAAAACCGGUGGGGAAGGCGGGUCUCUGGGCAGUAACUGACGCUGAGGAAGGAAAGCGUGGGUAGCGAACAGG